GUAGGUGGCGAGCGUUGUCCGGAUUUACUGGGCGUAAAGCGCGCGCAGGCGGGCUGGUCAGUCCGGGGUGAAAUCUCACGGCUCAACUGUGAGGAGUCCCCGGAUACUGCCAGUCUUGAGGUGCCUAGAGGAGAGUGGAAUUCCCGGUGUAGUGGUGGAAUGCGUAGAUAUCGGGAGGAACACCAGUGGCGAAAGCGGCUCUCUGGGGGCGACCUGACGCUGAGGCGCGAAAGCGUGGGGGAGCGAACCGGAUUAGAUACCCGGGUAGUCCACGCCGUAAACGAUGAGCACUAGCUGUCGGGGGUAUCGACCCCCCGUCGGUAGCGCAGCUAACGCGUUAAGUGCUCCGCCUGGGGACUACGGCCGCAAGGCUA
rnacentral:rRNA from 1 species